AACGAACGCUGGCGGCAGGCCUAACUCAUGCAAGUCGAGCGAGGACUUCGGUUCUAGCGGCGGACGGGUGAGUAACGCGUGGGAAUGUGCCCUUCUCUACGGAAUAGCCCUGGGAAACUGGGAGUAAUACCGUAUACGCCCUUUUGGGGAAAGAUUUAUCGGAGAAGGAUCAGCCCGCGUUGGAUUAGGUAGUUGGUGGGGUAAUGGCCUACCAAGCCGACGAUCCAUAGCUGGUUUGAGAGGAUGAUCAGCCACACUGGGACUGAGACACGGCCCAGACUCCUACGGGAGGCAGCAGUGGGGAAUCUUAGACAAUGGGGGCAACCCUGAUCUAGCCAUGCCGCGUGAGUGAUGAAGGCCUUAGGGUUGUAAAGCUCUUUCAGCUGGGAAGAUAAUGACGGUACCAGCAGAAGAAGCCCCGGCUAACUCCGUG
rnacentral:rRNA from 1 species